GCAGGGCUAGCCGCCCAGCCGAGCUCUCUUGCCCUCUGGUGGCCGGACCGUGUCAAGCCGGUACAACCAAGUCCUAAGAUUCAGGACUCAAAGCAGUUGCGCUGCGCUGGGACCCCAUCUGCUCCUGAGAACUACAAACUUUGGCUUGUGUACCAAUACUGAGCAUCACAGCACCCCAAGAGUAAGGGACCUUCCUAGAAACUUCCAGCCAGUCCAAACUUCCAGCGCUGCUUCCGCAGCCUCUGAUCCCACAAAGCCACCACCUCUUCACGGUACCAGAUUCUCUCAUCACUUCAGCUGGGUUCCACCUUCCCCAGGAGCAGGUCCAGAACCGACCACAAGGUCAUACGUUUACCGUUGCUCAAAAGCCACAGCCCUACCUGAAAGCUAAUGUAAAAACCCAAUGGUUUUUCUUUUCCUGACUCCCUAAAUACCAAGAAAAAAGCGACUUCCCCAAAUAGACAGAAACAGAAAGUACCCUUUGGGGCGGGCGCAGAAGUUGGAACUAGGUGGGAAUGGGCUCAAUGCCCACCACGGGUCUUUCCACAGUGAUCUCACCCCCAACUACCUGUUUAUAGAUGAGGAGCCCAUCCCUGGGCAAUGUGGUCCAUACAACUGUCUCCCCAGUCUCUACUUUAUUCACAGAAAUGUUGAUAUUUGAAGGAGAGGGAUGGAGGAGGCAGGCUCCAUUGUAAAGGAGCAGACAAGAUUGACAGUGUGUGCCCAAUGGAGAAGACAGAGGAGAGCACGUUUAACAAACAGUCCAGGAAUGUGUUAGAGAAGUUAUGGAAUGUUUGACUUCUGCAUUCUUGCCGUUCUCAAAACUGAAGGCAGAAUAAAGCGAGAACCCCAGGAAGCUGAGAACCUCAGAAACCCAGCAAUGCUGCCCUCCAAUGGCACACUCUCUUUCUUACUAGCAGCUGUGGCCCAAAUGUUGAGUUUGAAAUUGUCUUCCCUUCAACACUGGGGUGUGUUGUUGUCCCUGCAGGGCUGACCACCAGCCAGACCUCAAGAGCACCUGGCAUCUUCUGGACAGAAAUUAAAAUGACAGCCAUCAGAAGCACUGUCCCCAGUGCAUCUGGGAAGACCCACGGGUGCCUCUGUCACUCGGCCGCACCUGGUUGCCUUCCGACCACUGUCCAGCUCUCUUGUUUCCUCUUACAAACAAGGCUACUUGUAAUCGCCCUGCUUCCCUUCGUUGCCUGAUGUUUUCAAAGAGCAGCCUGCCCUGCCUUCCUCAUCUUACGUUUAGUCCAGUAUGUUCUAGAAAGAGGUCACCAGGGAAACCUUGAAUGCCAGAUCCAGCAUGCUCAUUUACGUGUCUUUCUGUUGUUACCUUUCCGAGGAAACUCCCCUGGUCCCUGAAGACCCUUCACUUCAAACCUCUGUUUCUGGCUUCCUUUGCUUCUUUCUUCCUUUAGCAUUGGAAUCUUUGCAUUUUUUUGCAUGAGACUGCUUCUCUUCUCCCAGAGCUGUUUGGUUCAUCUGUCCAUCACAUUCAAAAUGGUAGCCUGAACUUCUCUCUUGAGUGGAAACCCUGUGGUUCUGGUGUCGCUGCACCUCUAUACCUCAGUCCCCAAUGCAGCUGGGAAGACCCACGGAUGCCUCUGUCACUCGGCGGCACCUGGUUGCCUUCCAACCACCAUACAGCUCUGUCAUCAGUGCAGAGACACCCUGGGAUCUCGUUUCUUCUCCACAGGCUCCCGCUCUUAACAGCACCAUGCAGAGGACAAAGCUUCUAACACAGGAAGCCUAGACAACAAAACUCUUAACAUGCUUUCCUUAAAGCCAAAUACUCUGCCCAUGGUAAACCACACCUCAGUGCAUAGAACAUGAGGCAAAGCCCUCCCUGGGUUUUUCAUCCCUCCUUGCCCGUCCACACUCUGAUUUCUGCUGAGAUUGUGUCCCCUUGGUUAUUCAGUCUGUAUUCAUUGCCAAUCAACAAAUCAUUUCGGCUGCCAUUCAUUCCUGGGAAAAGACUGAUCCCAGAGGAGCUGGGAAACAGAAGACAACCCGGAGGGACAGUCAAGAGAAUCUGACAAAAUGAGAAAAAUCGGAAUGCUCUAGACUACACUUCCAAAAAAUGGCAGGGAAAAUAAAACAUUCGCAUUUGUGUUUUCA